AUUCCAGCUCCAAUAGCGUAUAUUAAAGUUGUUGCAGUUAAAAAGCUCGUAGUUGAAUUUCUGCACAGUCCCGGUUCUGGCUUCGGUCAAGCCGAGGAUUGUGCAUCCGCUUGCAAAUCUAGCUCGGCCUUCACUGGUCGACUAGGGGAGUAAGCCCUUUACCUUGAAAAAAUUAGAGUGUUUCAGGCAGGCAAUGGCUCGAAUACAUUAGCAUGGAAUAAUGGAAUAGGACUUUUGUCCAUUUGGUUGGUUAUUGGACAUGAGUAAUGAUUAAAAGGGACAGUUGGGGGCAUUAGUAUUUAAUAGUCAGAGGUGAAAUUCUUGGAUUUAUUAAAGACUAACUUAUGCGAAAGCAUUUGCCAAGGAUGUUUUCAUUA
rnacentral:rRNA from 1 species